ACAUUGGUACAACUAUACAAAAUUCAGAGGUAUUCACACUCCUUAAACAUUGGUACAUCUGUACCACCCAAUUAGGAACCUUAAUAAGGACUGAAACCUAGGAUUAAUCGACAGGAUAACGGCUGUAAUCUGGACCAUCCUCUGUCACAAUCACCAUGGCUGUUUUGGGGAACAAAAGACUUGGUUUACAUCGACACCACAGCUCACGACUCAGUUUAACAACACCCCCGUCCUCCCCCUCCUCCUCAAGGCUUCUGAUCUGAUCCUGCUGCUGCUUCUUGAUAACCAAAAGCUAGAUGAGGAGCCUGCUGCAAGUAAAAAGGAACAAUGGUAUUAGGCGCAUCGUAGAUUCAAAAUCGCCUUGAGAAGUACCGGAGGGUGAGUCCUUUUUUCUGUUAUUGAUGCUAUAUAUUCUAGGUUUAACCGGGUAAAAUAGUUAUGCUCGUUUCCACAAUCGUCCGGGAAAUUUCUUUUUCAUCAGUAUAUGGCAUGCCAAAACAAUCAUAAGCUGAAGUUGAGGAGGAACAAAGAAAAAGUGCUCCCGAGCAGGAUUCCGUUUUAUGGACAGCCGACAACAAUUGGAGUCUGGAUCACUCCAGAUUGUGGCAGAUGAGCAUGUGAACCAAAAUUUAUCUCACAUGAAUGAGUAGCUUUCCUUUUCCUUUUUUUUUGUGCGUGCAGCUAGGCAACAAGCUGAUUCAUCUGCUGUGGUACAAAGAAGAAUCACAUGCGUCUUGUCCAGUUCUGCCAGGACGAUAUAAUCCUCCAUUUGAAGUGGGAAUAGGAAGAAGUGGGGGUUUCCGGAAUGGCGGUUGAAGCUCUCCUUGACGAUCUGGACACCGUCGCAGCAGCCGAGCAACCACACGACGGCGCUUCCUCUUCCCAGCAGCAGCUCACCGUGGACAGCUACGGCCUGAGUGGGCCACUGUUCCUGGCGCAGCCAACAACCACUGCAGCAAGCACAUAUCUGCAUGCUGCAGUCACCAGCCCUGGGCUGUGCAGCGUCAACAGCAGCCUUGGAGAAAACCAAUUUCAGAUUGCCGCAGGGGGUAGCCCUGAGCACCGCAGGAUCAGAUCAAACGAUGCGCUUCACUACAUAAGCCAGAUGCUGAUGGAGGACGUCGACGAGGCACCGGUCGGCGUGUGCCAAGAGGAGGCUGCUGCUCUCCAGGCCGCCGAGAAGCCAUUCCGUGACAUCCUUGGGCCGGUAUACCCGCCGGCUACUAACUGGCAACAAUUGCAUAGCAGCAAUGGAACAGGUAACUCUGGUAAGAGCUGGACCAGCCGUUACAAGAGGCUCUGGAGCACUAGCUUCGGUGAUAACGACUGUUCCAGUUACAGCGUGUUACAGCCCUUAACAACAUACCCGUUGAGUCUAUAUACCUGCAAUAGGAGUCUUCUUUCUCUGCAAAAACGUCCGUUGAUAAGUGUUGGGCCGACAUGUAGAUCUGGUUUCCCCGCCUUGCAUCGUCAGAGAGGAGGCGUCGAGGAGGCACCGACUGUUGCUCCAAGUAUUGAUAAGCUGGUGAUAUGUUUAGAGAAUGGCAUACUUUCUAUCACCAGACUGACCACAAAGGCGAAAGUAGGAGGGAGGAGCGAAAAUGCAAUUUUUGAGGUGGCAGACCCAAGGGAGGAGUGGGAUGUCUUGGAAAGAAGGAGCAACAAACAUCUUGCCUUCACCGCUUGUGCAAUAAUUCGAAAUGAAAAUUUCGACCGGAUUCUGCUAUGCUAUGGUCGGAAGAGUUUGGGACAAAUAGCAAGACCACAAAGAGGGAUGAUGGCAGAGGAAGGCAACAAGAGCUCGAUGAAAGGCCGGAGCAAAGGAGGUCAGAAGGUAUGGCAGAGGAAGCAACCGAGGAGAGAGUUGGUUGAUCUCAGGACUCUCCUCGUCCAUUGCGCACAAGCUAUGGCAGAACAUGACCACCUGUUGGCCAGUGACCUCCUAAAGAAGAUAAGGCAACACUCCUCAGCAGAUGGUGAUUGUACUCAGAGACUGGCAUUUUACUUGGCGGAUGGCCUCGAGGCACGCUUGGCUGGGAUCGGGAGUCAGGUUUAUCGCAACCUCAUGGAGAGGCGAACAAGUAGCACCGAUUGGUUAGAUGCUUGCAGCCAUUUUCUUGCAUCCUGCCCUUUCGACAGGACGUCACACUACUUUGCCAGCCAAGCAAUUCUUGAUGUUUCACAAGGGCAACCAAGGGUGCACAUCGUUGAUUUCGGUAUCGGCUUCGGCCUUCAAUGGCCAUUAAUGAUUCAGAGGUUCUCACUGCAAGAAGAGGGAGCCCCUAAGCUUCGGAUCACAGGUAUAGACGUUCCCCAGCCAGGUUUCCACCCCUGCGAAAUGAUUGAGGAGACAGGGAAGCGGUUGGCUGAUUAUGCACACAUGUUCAAGGUACCUUUUCAGUAUCAGGG
rnacentral:lncRNA from 1 species